rnacentral:sRNA from 1 species
CUAGUAUUGGUCACUUGGAAAUGUUCUAAGAAAACCUCACUAAUUUGUAAAACUAAUGUGCACUCCUACUUCCUUUUCACGUUUCAGCAGGAGCAUGCUGACCUGUGUGGACAGCCUUCAUAUAGGACCAAGACCAGUGCCCUUGCUCUGCAGAGCUGAUCAAGAGGCUCCACUUGUUUGAUGAAUCAAAUCCCAACUGACACUGAAGACCGUGAUCCUGUAUUGUCUAACUGUCCUCUAGCAUGUUUCCAAGAGGGCUUGUGUUCCCCUCUCAAGACCCCCGUCUGCCUUCAUUGUUGUAUUUUCUCCCACCUGGACCAUCCUUCAUCUUUCUCCAUCAUAGUUGAAAACCUUUAUUACCCUUACGUUUCAGCUCAAAGCUCCAUCCUGCUUUCCUGUCUGUACUGCUCUCCUGCCUCUGGCUGCUCCCCUCCCGCUUUGAUGUUCUGUAGUUCCAUUGGCCACCUCAGAUACCAUGACAAAGAGCAGAGUCAUUUGUGUCGACCGCAGAUGAGGGUGAGCUACUGUGCCAGAUGUUGGCUUAAAGGGCUGGAGGCAUUGGAAAGAAUGAGAUAACCUACACUGUUCAAGCUCUUGGAGAAGAGCUUGUGUUCCCUCAGUGUAGGACAGAGACGCUCUGGAAAAGUGUUUACCAAGGACACUUGACGACUUCUGACAAAUACAAUCGAUCUUUAACACUAAAGAAUCACUUCAGUCAUCUAAAAGCUUUGUAAAGCCAGGAAUUCUGCCACAUAACUUUGUGGCUCUUCUCCCUGCCUGGUACCUAUGACUGCAGCCUAAUGAAGGCGUGGGUUUGAGGGUUGAGGGGUAGAAGAAAUGAGUCUAAAUGCAAGUCCUUUGAGAGCUGAUCUGAAUUUCCUUAUCAUUGAAAUGGGGGAGGGCAUGUACUUACAUCACAGGUUAUUGAGAAGAUUGAGUGAGACAAUGUAUAGCUCGCACAGUAUCUAGCACGUAGUAGGAAGUUAGUGUUAACCCACGUUUAUAUCCUCUAAAAUACCUAUAAUUCAAGUGGCUGGCAUCAGUCUAAUGCCUUUAGUGACUGGACAUCAGGGUGGCCACUGCAGGUUAACUUCAUUAUCCCAGUGAUCUCGUCACUAGUAUUGCCUUCUCUCUUUAUGACAUAGCUGGGUUUUCUAUGUUACAUGGCUACUAUGGCGGCUAUGGAAACUGCUUUACAACUUCAAAGAGCAGAAUGUCUGAGGACAGCAUUCAUGGGCAGCUCUAGCCCAGCCCAGCAUUGAUGCUCACUAGACAUGCGACUUGGCUUGACUUGCAACAGAAGCCAUUUUGGACUGCCGUACCUAAAACUGUGAACAAGAUAGCUUGUAAAUAACAGCAAUUUUAUUUCUUAUAAUUCUAGAAUCUCAGUAGUCCAAACAGAACAUACUGCCAGAUGUGCAUGCUGGUGCAAUCCUGUUCUCCACUUCAAAAUGGCGCCUUUAAACUAACGUGGUGGAAAGGACACAGGAAGUUCAAAGACACUUUCAUCAGAGUUUGAGAGGAAAGAGGAAAAGAGCAGGCAAGCUGUAAACCUCAGCACGUGUUGGGAUGAAGGAACUGGAAAGAAAGAGAGGCACUCAAGUCCUUUGGGAGAUCCAUGGACCAAAAGAUGUACAAGAAGAUGAUGAUGCUCUCAAACGUUCCUUCUAUCUGCUUCCUGGUGGGCACUGAUGUGAGUCCACAGGAAAGUAAGUUGGUCCUGAAUUCAUGGAUAAUGCAUCCCAAUGUAAGAUUAUUAAGCAAAAUUUCAAAUGAACAAUUUCUUUUUGCAUUCUAAAUUGAAAUAUGCCUAGGUCUCAUUAUUAUGUAACAAAGAAAACUGUAUCUACCCAACUGUAGGUGGGUGUGUGCGCACACAUGUAGUCAUUCACACUUACACGUAUACACUGGAAGAUACAGUUCAUAUUAAAGUGGAAAGUCUCGUUGUAGUUUAUCAGUGUUUUCCUUGAACUUCUCUUGAAAGUGAAUAGUUAUGUUGUACAAAACUUACGUCUAUUUGCAAAGCUCAUCUUGUACAGUAAAAAACACCUAAAAGAAGCAUAAAGAUGAAACACUGAUCUUGCUAUACAACUCAAAUUUUGC